UCUUUAGAUCUAAAUUUUGCAUGCAUGUGAUACAUGCUUAAUUAGUUUUAGAUCUGAUUUUUCAUAUAUGAUAUGUGAUUUUAAUUUAGAUCUGAAACAAUGCUAUAUGUCACCUUGUUUGAAAUGUAAACCUAGUGUAGUUUAGAUCUGAAAUUAUUUCGACAUUUGAACUAAACCCAUGAUCAUAAUAUACUUAAUUAAGAA
rnacentral:lncRNA from 1 species